rnacentral:rRNA from 1 species
UACGUAGGGUGCAAGCGUUGUCCGGAAUUAUUGGGCGUAAAGAGCUCGUAGGCGGUCUGUUGCGUCCGCUGUGAAAACUCGGGGCUUAACCCCGGACUUGCGGUGGGUACGGGCAGACUAGAGUGUGGUAGGGGAGACUGGAAUUCCUGGUGUAGCGGUGAAAUGCGCAGAUAUCAGGAGGAACACCGAUGGCGAAGGCAGGUCUCUGGGCCACUACUGACGCUGAGAAGCGAAAGCGUGGGGAGCGAACAGG